AUUUCACACAAGGCACUCACUUCAAAAUUGGAAUGAUAUAGAGAACAUUAGCAUGGCCCCCGCAUGGGGUGAUGCACAAAUUUAUGAAGCAUUCCAUAUUUUC
ensembl:snRNA U6 U6 spliceosomal RNA